AUUGAACGCUGGCGGCAGGCUUAACACAUGCAAGUCGAGCGGGGUGAUGGUGCUUGCACUAUCACUUAGCGGCGGACGGGUGAGUAAUGCUUAGGAAUCUGCCUAUUAGUGGGGGACAACAUCUCGAAAGGGAUGCUAAUACCGCAUACGUCCUACGGGAGAAAGCAGGGGAUCACUUGUGACCUUGCGCUAAUAGAUGAGCCUAAGUCGGAUUAGCUAGUUGGUGGGGUAAAGGCCUACCAAGGCGACGAUCUGUAGCGGGUCUGCGAGGAUGAUCCGCCCCACUGUGACUGAGACACGGCCCAGACUCCUACGGGAGGCAGCAGUGGGGAAUAUUGGACAAUGGGGGGAACCCUGAUCCAGCCAUGCCGCGUGUGUGAAGAAGGCCUUAUGGUUGUAAAGCACUUUAAGCGAGGAGGAGGCUCUUUUGGUUAAUACCCAAGAUGAGUGGACGUUACUCGCAGAAUAAGCACCGGCUAACUCUGUGCCAGCAGCCGCAGUAA
rnacentral:rRNA from 1 species